rnacentral:rRNA from 1 species
CAAAGACUGACGCUCAGGUGCGAAAGCGUGGGGAGCAACCAGGAUUAGAUACCCUGGUAGUCCACGCCGUAAACGAUGUCGACUUGGAGGUUGUGCCCUUGAGGCGUGGCUUCCGGAGCUAACGCGUUAAGUCGACCGCCUGGGGAGUACGGCCGCAAGGUUAAAACUCAAAUGAAUUGACGGGGGCCCGCACAAGCGGUGGAGCAUGUGGUUUAAUUCGAUGCAACGCGAAGAACCUUACCUACUCUUGACAUCCAGAGAACUUUCCAGAGAUGGAUUGGUGCCUUCGGGAACUCUGAGACAGGUGCUGCAUGGCUGUCGUCAGCUCGUGUUGUGAAAUGUUGGGUUAAGUCCCGCAACGAGCGCAACCCUUAUCCUUUGUUGCCAGCGGUUAGGCCGGGAACUCAAAGGAGACUGCCAGUGAUAAACUGGAGGAAGGUGGGGAUGACGUCAAGUCAUCAUGGCCCUUACGAGUAGGGCUACACACGUGCUACAAUGGCGCAUACAAAGAGAAGCGACCUCGCGAGAGCAAGCGGACCUCAUAAAGUGCGUCGUAGUCCGGAUUGGAGUCUGCAACUCGACUCCAUGAAGUCGGAAUCGCUAGUAAUCGUAGAUCAGAAUGCUACGGUGAAUACGUUCCCGGGCCUUGUACACACCGCCCGUCACACCAUGGGAGUGGGUUGCAAAAGAAGUAGGUAGCU